UUCGCCACGCCCGCUACAGUAAACUUAAAGGAAUUGACGGGACCCCGCACAAGCGGUGGAUCAUGUUGUUUAAUUCGAUGAUACGCGAAGAACCUUACCAGGUCUUGACAUCCCCCGCGAUGCUUUAGAGAUAAAGCGGAGGUAUUCGGGGAGACAGGUGGUGCAUGGUUGUCGUCAGCUCGUGUCGUGAGAUGUUGGGUUAAGUCCCGCAACGAGCGCAACCCCUAUUGCUAGUUACCAUCAUUAAGUUGGGGACUCUAGCGAGACUGCCAGUGAUAAACUGGAGGAAGGUGGGGAUGACGUCAAAUCAUCAUGCCCCUUAUGACCUGGGCUACAAACGUGAUACAAUGGCUGGAACAAAGGGAUGCGAAGCAGUGAUGUGGAGCGAAACCCAUAAAAACAGUCUCAGUUCGGAUUGAAGUCUGCAACUCGACUUCAUGAAGUCGGAAUCGCUAGUAAUCGCGGAUCAGAACGCCGCGGUGAAUACGUUCUCGGGGUUU
rnacentral:rRNA from 1 species